rnacentral:rRNA from 1 species
UACGUAGGUGGCAAGCGUUGUCCGGAUUUACUGGGCGUAAAGGGAGCGUAGGCGGACUUUUAAGUGGGAUGUGAAAUACUCGGGCUCAACCUGAGUGCUGCAUUCCAAACUGGAAGUCUAGAGUGCAGGAGGGGAAAGUGGAAUUCCUAGUGUAGCGGUGAAAUGCGUAGAUAUUAGGAAGAACACCGGUGGCGAAGGCGACUUUCUGGACUGUAACUGACGCUGAGGCUCGAAAGCGUGGGGAGCGAACAGG